UAACCUGCCCAANAGAUCGGGAUAACACCUGGAAACAGAUGCUAAUACCGGAUAACAACAGAUGAUGCCUAUCAACUGUUUAAAAGAUGGUUCUGCUAUCACUCUUGGAUGGACCUGCGGUGCAUUAGCUAGUUGGUAGGGUAACGGCCUACCAAGGCGAUGAUGCAUAGCCGAGUUGAGAGACUGAUCGGCCACAUUGGGACUGAGACACGGCCCAAACUCCUACGGGAGGCAGCAGUG
rnacentral:rRNA from 1 species